rnacentral:rRNA from 1 species
UCAAGCGAAUAAGAGCUUAAGUUGGAUAUCUUGGCAUUCAGAAGCGAUGAAGGGCGCGUCUACCGGCGAAACGCUUCGGGGAGCUGGAAGUAAGCAUUGAUCCGGAGGUACCCGAAUGAGGAAACUCUUAAUACUACUUGCUCAAUCUAUAGGCAAGUAAGAGCGAACCUGGCGAAUUGAAACAUCUUAGUAGCCAGAGGAAAAGAAAGCAAAAGCGAUUCCCAUAGUAGCGGCGAGCGAAAAGGGACAAGCUCAA